CCAGCAUUUAGCAUCCAGGAAGUAGGCCAAAUCUUGAUAGCAUGAGGCUGCGGGUACAUCCAGUGCCCUACCUGAUCUUUGUCGAAAUGUAAUGCCACACGUGGGCAAAUUAUCAAGCUCCCUGGAGGUUAUGGCAAGGCCGAGUAGUGACGCCAGCACAUCAAAGGACGGGCCCAGUUCAAAGCAGUCUGCAAUUUCAGAGCAGUAAAAGCAAGAGAACAGAAGCAGAGAAUGGAGCCACAGGCAUGCGCUUACAGAAAGAUCCUCCCUCGUCUGGUUUCAUCCCUUCAUCUACAGUGUGCCCAGCCCCUCCCUCCCACCAUACAGCAGGUGAGCAGCAGGUGGACGAGGAAGCACGGCGCUGGAGGUUGGAAGUUUCCUGAGGGUGAACUGGGAGGGGUCAAAGACCCUGUGGCCCCGAUUGGAGUCAGUUACUGUCGUCUGACUCACUGUCUAAGAUGGUCACUCAGCUGAAUGUCCGGUGUGACUGGUUGACGCACAAAGAAAUACAAACACACACACAUACAGUGCAUAAAGAUGCAUUUUUACAGACUUCUGUGCGCUGAGAUACAUGUAACAAUAAGCACGUAUAGUGUAUCCAUAUGUACACUCACACACACACAGAUAUAAACCUGUACUCUGACCUCUGAGAUAAAAUGACCUAUGGAGCAUAUUUCUCAAUGAAAUAUUAACCAAAGAUGACACAAGUCCACCAUGACUCCACAAAUUCACCCACAAGCCUCAGCAGAUCUGCACUUCUGUUAUAAUGUACGACUUCCUUAUUAUACACAUCCUCACAUGUACUAUACACAAAACUGUGUGUUAACCAAAUGCAAACACGCACUCUUAUUGGUACACCUGUCACUGUUAUCUUAAGAAAAUGGUGGACUCAUCAGUUGAAACACAGACAUUCUCACACACACACACACACACACACACACACACACACAGAGGAACAUUUACAACCACGCUUACAUAUCACUGGGCUUUACAUAGAGCUGAUGAUAUUUCACAGAACCAUAAAGAACAGAUUAUGGCCUCAGGGAAGAAGAAGAAGAAGCACAGAGCUUACUUUCAGCACCGUUUUCCAAAUACCACCACUGCUGCUCGCUGCCAGCAAGACUGAUUGCAGAACAUUGCGCACCAGAGUUUGCUCUCAAUAAACUGGCAUUGGUGAAAAAAAGAAAAAAAAAAAGUUGCAAGAUAUGGCUUCUUUUUUACAGUUUCAUACCAAGUUUAUUUGGAUCUUUUUUUAUUUUUUUCAGCCAGACUGAAAGAACUGGUAUUAGCCUUGAACUGAAAGUUGCCUUCUUGUAAUGAAUAGGUUCCGAGAGCAUCUCUGUUUCAUCUCAGUCAUUACAGUAGUGCUGUUGCGUGUGGCUAUAUGCUAAUUGUGAUGUCUAGGAGGCAAAAUAAGAGGGGAGUGUGCACUGUAUCUAUCAAGGUUUAGACCACAGAAUGGAGA